rnacentral:tRNA from 1 species
GUUCAUGUAGCUUAUAGUUUUAAAGCAAGGCACUGAAAAUGCCUAGAUGAGUUUUCGAACUCCAUAAACA